rnacentral:rRNA from 1 species
AUUGAACGCUGGCGGCAUGCCUUACACAUGCAAGUCGAACGGCAGCAUAGGAGCUUGCUCCUGAUGGCGAGUGGCGAACGGGUGAGUAAUAUAUCGGAACGUGCCCUAGAGUGGGGGAUAACUAGUCGAAAGACUAGCUAAUACCGCAUACGAUCUACGGAUGAAAGUGGGGGAUCGCAAGACCUCAUGCUCCUGGAGCGGCCGAUAUCUGAUUAGCUAGUUGGUGGGGUAAAAGCUCACCAAGGCGACGAUCAGUAGCUGGUCUGAGAGGACGACCAGCCACACUGGGACUGAGACACGGCCCAGACUCCUACGGGAGGCAGCAGUGGGGAAUUUUGGACAAUGGGGGCAACCCUGAUCCAGCAAUGCCGCGUGAGUGAAGAAGGCCUUCGGGUUGUAAAGCUCUUUUGUCAGGGGAGAAACGGUUCUGGAUAAUACCUGGGACUAAUGACGGUACCUGAAGAAUAAGCACCGGCUAACUACGUGCCAGCAGCCGCCGCCG